rfam:Strigamia maritima strain Brora ctg7180001225253, whole genome shotgun sequence.
GCCUCGGUGGCUCAGUAGGUAGAGCGUGAGUCUCAUAAUCUCAAGGUCGUGAGUUCGAUCCUCACCUGGGGCA